AAACACAUGCAUGUAAACAUGAGAGUUUACACUUGAACAUGCAAACCACAUGAAGUUGGGCAUGACUAUCAGAAGAAGGCCCACCUCUCCCUCCUGUUCCGAGAGAGGCACAGAGGACACUGAGGGAGGUGCGGUGGCUGCCCCUUGUACUGGCACCCUAACUAUCUAAGAACAAACUCACAACAACAGCAAAUUCUCCCGUUGUCACUUAGAGAUGGUGCGGGCCCCAAGUCAUCUAACUCCCCUGAACUUAUUUAUAUUGUUGGCUUAUAAACCUCAGGAGAAGUUCCAUAUGUUUAUUGUCUGCUGGAUAAAGUAACAUUUCCUUUUAUUGUCUUCUGUCUUAAGAUUAUCUUCUUCAAGGCCGUCCUAGGAUCCUGGCAUUCUACGGUUUGGUGAGCACAUCUGUUUUCAUAUUACGUCAUGGUGCUAUGUACACUCAUGGAACACACAGAGAGUACAAUAGAGAGAUUAAAGGCAGGCACCAAAUAUCCCUUGGUUGAACUAUCUGUUUUUAAUAGCUGGUAAAAAGUGGAGAAGCAAUACCAAAUAAGUUCUUGAAGGUAAAUGAACAGUAGCUGAAUUUUAUCUCCAAAAGGGAACAUCAUCCUGGAAAUACAUUUAAGUGCUUUUACUCUUAGAACCUAAGCACGUAUUAUGGAUUUUUAAAAAAGCACCUUAAAAAACUGCAGUUUCAUAUAUGCCAGGGAAAAAGUAACCCGCUGUGCUUGCUGGAACAGGCUCAGUAUCAAGAACAGAAACAGCACCCUCGUUCCUCUCAGUGGCUCACAUAAGCCUUCUGACACUUUGCCUAGCCCCUUCUUUGCAUUUCCUAGAUAAGACCCUAGAGGCAGGCUCCACACAGGACCCAGCCAAGGCCACGGUCCGGGUUGUUCCCAUGAGGCUCUGACAUUACAGAACAAGCGGAAAGGUGCCCUCCAGGGCUGAGUAGGACAAGAACCUCUGCCCCACACAGCGAUCCCGGUCCUGCAACUCCAGCAUGCCGUCUGCUUCUGGGGACGCCACCUUCCAUCAUCCUGUCCUUACUUCCCCAUUCCUGGCGGUUUUUAACUGUCUCCAGCAACAACCUUCUUUUUCUGAUUAGUCCAGGGUAUCAAUGAACAUUCUUAAUAUCUGGUUCCUUCAAUAACUUCUAGUGCUAAGCUGAUGUUUCUAUUUGUGUGCCGAAAAUGGCACAGGUAAGAAAAAGACACGACACAUUAAUUACAUUUAAGAGAAUGUUAAUAAAAACAUCUUAUUUCUCAAUAGUACUUUUAAAUUAAAGAAAAAAAAUGUUUUUUCUCCCUAAAGCCCCAGUACAUAGUUGUAUAUCCUAGUUGUAAGUUGUUCUAGCUCUUCUAUGUGGGAUGCCGGCACAAGCAUGGCUUGACAAGUGAUGUGUAGUUUGCACAGAGGAUCCAAAGCCAUGAACCCGGGGCCGCUGAAGCGGAGCCCAGGAACAUAACCACUCGGCCACGGGGCCAGUUCCCCAAGUAAUUUUAAAUACUGUUAUGCCACGUAACAUUUAAUGGGUCACUUCUCAUAUAACUGAAAAUCACUAUUGAAGGACACCAAUAAACCACCAAGGUAGGAACAGCAACUCUGCCUCUAGCUUACAUGCAGUCUACUGGAUGGAAGGGAGGGAGGGAGGCAGAGAGGGAGGGAGGGAGGGGGGAAGGGAAAGAAAUCAGAGUUGUAGUUUUGGCAUUACAAGCACUGACAUUAACAGCCUCCGCUAGGCUACGGCGGAGGUCCAUGAGACCUCCUCCAACAGGCCACUGCUUUCAACUGCACACUUUAACUCCCUGUGCUAAUAAGCGCAGAUAACUAAGCAAUUGUUUCCUUAAAAAAACAAAAUCGAGCUGACUUUAAUUAACUCAUAAAUUGCUUCAGCAAUUUCUCAAGUUUCUCAAGAUAGAAUUCAGAAGAAAAACACACUAAAUAUACUAGAAAUUUUAUACUUAAUUUUUUUGUUUUUAAAAGUGAAUUUUGGUAUUUUAAAGUUAACUAAUACUAAAACAGUUAACUAAUAAAUGCUUAUUAUGAAAAAAUCUAAAGUUAGAGAAAAAAGGAAGAAAAUAAUUGUUAAUAGUCUUCCCAUUCAAAGAUAAUCACCAUUAACAUUUUGGGGUACUUCCUUUCAAUCUUUUUACUAUCAAAGAUUUAUAGUUUUUGAAUUUUUAAUUUGUUUAUAAUUGAAACUAUAUAUAAAAUUUCAAAUCAAAUUUUUAUUUAAAAUUAUGACAUAAGCAUUGUUCCAUAUUGCUGUGCAGUCUUCAAAAACGGCAUUUCACACUGCAUGGCAUUCUUUUGAGUGGAUAUACUAUCAUUUCUUUAACCAUUCUUCUAUAGUUGGACAUUACUUGCUUCCAAACUUUCCCUAAGAGAAAUACGGCUGCAAUGCGUACUUUCGUUCACCAGGCCUUUGCUGCGUUUGGGAUUAUUUCCCAAGGAUAGAUUUGUAGAACUGUAAUUACUGGGGCAAACAGUACAAACAUAUUAAGGCUUUUGAUACACUUCUCCAAUCGCUAACCAUGAGGGUUCUGCCCAGCAGAAAGGUACGAGCACACCUAUUCCGCUCCACUCUUGUCAGCAACGGGUGCUACUAAAUCAAAACGAAACAAAAUGAAAAUCCCCCUCCCCCACCUGGAAGUACCAAUUUAAUUUCUUUAAACCUUUUAUUAUGGAAGACUUAAAAACAGGCAAAAGUAAAUGAAAUAGUAUAAAGAACCUCUGUGGACCCACCCCAAUGUCAACAACUACAGCUCUUGGCCAAUCUCGUUUCACUUCCGUCCCACCGACUUUCCCCUCCCUGUGCUAUUUCGAAACAAAUAACCGCCAUGGAUGGUAUCAUUCCAUCUAUAAAUAUUUCAGUCUGCAUCUCUAAAAGAUAAGGGCUCUGAAAACAAAAAAGCAGAACCAGAUGCCAUCCCACAUCUAAAACAACAGGAGUUCACCAAUAUUAUCAAACCCCAGUCAGUCAGUGUUCACGUCUCCAACAGCCUCAUAAGUGCCACAUUUUAAAAAUUUGCUCGUGACAGGAUCUGAACAUAGUCCACACAAUGCAGUUGGCUGACAUGGCUCACAAGUUUCUCCCACACUACAGGUAUCCCUCUCUCUAUCCUCUCCCCUCAUUUUAUUUGUUGAAGAAACUGGGCCAUUUUUUCUAGAGUUUUCCACAGCCUGGAUUUUACUGAUGGCAUCCCCGUGGCGUGCUUUACAUGUUCCUCCUUACUCUGUACUUCCUGUAAACUGGUAAUUAGAGGAGAUUCAGGCUUGAUUUUUUGGCAAGACUACUUCAUGGGUGGUGUUACUAUCUAGGAAGCACUUGAGGUCAAGCAUCUCAGCAUGUGACGCUGGCAGCGGGGACGCGUUAGUUCACCAGGGGUUGCAGACGGUCGUAUUCCAAUGCGAUCAUUCAGUCUUCAUUUAUUAGUUGGAACAUUUUUACAAAGAAAAACUUCCCCUCGUCUAUUAUUUGGUUACCCAGUGGUAGAGUUUAUCAUAUAGACAGGAGAAAUGCCCAGUUCUUUCCCUUUAUUUACCAGUUCUCAAAACAAUGCAUUGGUUUACUAGUUUUCUUCCAAUGUGAUGGGUUGGUUUUUUUGCCCCCAACAUUCUUAUAAACUCACGGAUUUAAACACAUUUGAUGUAUUUUUAUCUGAUGCAAUUAUUCUUCUUACUGAUGCUCAAAUUGUCCUGCUUGAGGCCAGUGGGCAUCUCCUUGAGGUUGAGUCCUUUCGUCAUCACCUUAGUCUUUGCUGGCUUCCUUGCUAUCUGGUACAUGAUACUCUAGGCUUGUCCUGUACAAUUCCUGCCCGAGGCCAUGAAUCAGCCAUUUCCUCAAGCAGCUCUGGUUCUCUUCAGUGGGAAACGGUAUUUUAAGACCACAAUAAGGGCAAGAGGGGCAAAUAAUUUUUGAUAGGUUAAAAUUUUGGUUUUUCAUUUUAUGAAUCUAAAUUAGAGUGAAUAUUUUCCUUCUCACUUUUUUUCUUAUCCUAUAUUCAUUUACAUAUUGAGGUUUAAGUGUUUUCUUUUCUAAUAAAAAAAAGACACUCCACAGUCAUACUUCCCCAUGACUACUCCCACCCCCCAGUCACGCCUCCCUGCCAUGGUUCCCACUCCCCAACAACGCCUCCUGCUACUCCUUCCACCUCCACUCCCACCCCCACCCCGUCAGACCUCUCCCCACUCCUCUUUGCUCUGCUCUGCUCAAAGUCCUGGGAUAGGCUGGUUCUCCAGCCGCACCCUCGUGCGCUGCGGCUUCACAGAGGGAAGGUGUGUGAGCGCAGGAGGCUCAUUAGGAGUACCCCAACGGCUGUGCCUUUACCGGCUGUAGUAGCUUACGGACAGGGAAUGCCAGGAAGUCUUGCUCUGGUUCACUUUCAUUACCUUUCCAGUCCGUAAGGCUCUAUGAAGCUUGUCAAUUCUUAGUUUUUACAGAGCCAGAAAGGACCCUGGCACUGAUCUAGGUUGAAUAUGCAGAAUACGGCUUUCUGAAUUUUCCACAUGGUUGUAAUAAAACUGUAUACACAACUUUGAGGCUUUGGAACCAAGCCUCAGCUGUGCUACUGGAAAGCUUGGCCCAGUUACGUACCUUCUCUGAACAUCAGUUUCCUCCCACCUAAUGGGGAGAACAACAGCUCCAUCUCAGAAUGGCUACAAGCAGUCACUGAGACAAUGCACUGAUAAAGGGUGUGGCAUAGGCCUGGCACAGAAUACGUUCCCAGGGGCAGCUACUGUUACUCAGCCCAAACUCUGGUCUAGACUUCGCAGAGGAAAAAUGAUUUGAAGCCAGUUAACAUCAAAGCUGGAACCAGAACAGUUACUGCCUCCAGUUCAGUGAACUUGCCACUUACGUUAAUUUACUCUUUUGCUGUCACACUGGGACUCAAAGGAAGCUGCAGAGCGGGCGACAGUUGUGGGCACUGAGGUCUGAACAAAAAUGUGCCUCCUGAUGAAUGACUACCAAGCAGAAAGAGGCUGCAGGCACAAGUGUAGGGCAGUUUAGGGGAAGAUACAAAGCUGCCACGUGGGCUGAUCUAGCCAGACCUCACUGACUCCCAAAGGAGGCCAUUCAGUGCGAAGGUCAAGUGCACUGAGAUUCAGUGUCACUUCUGCCAGUUUCAGGCAGUGUGACCCAGGGCAAGUCAAACAACCUCUUCUGCCUGUUUACUCAGCUGUGAAAUGUGGAGGGGCCUGGUGAGGAAAUCAAAUGAGACGAUCCAUGUGAAACACAUGGUUACAGGUAUGGUGCACGACAAAACUCAACAGCUGUCAGCCUCGUUUCUCUUCAGAGUGUGGUGUGGUAGAAAGGGUCAGAUGAGCCCUUUGAGCUCUGCCAUCAAGGAGCUUAAAGCAUGUUCUCUAACGUUCUUUCCAGCCCUCAUUGUCCAGCCCUCCUCAUUUGGGAGACUGAUAUGGCAGUGAAUCAUAUACAGGCCAAUGGACACUACUCUAGAAACGAGCCAACACUGGCCACAGUCAGAGGCAAAACGCCCAGGGACAGGAGCUGCAGGUCGCUUCUUGGCAACUGCUAUCGGAUACCACAAAUAAAGCUAAUGCCAUCUGGUAAUGAAGCGGCUUGCUGUUGCCAAGGUAACACUUCUAUACCGAGCAGCACAUUUCCAAAGAGCUCACUCACUACCCCUCCUGUGUCUGUCCCCGUGAGUGUUCAAAUGGCAAGUUGUGAAAAGUCAGAGGAAGCAGCGUGCUUGCUCAACAGGAACCAAGGUGCACUUGAAAAGGAAGCUGACACACACGGAUACACAGAGGCCGCAACUUCCCUCUGGCCCCGCAACUGAGCCGGCAGCACCACUGGCUGGGAACCCACAACUCUGCGAAAAGCUGGAUCCUGAGAGGUCCAUUGUGACAAGACGGCUGAAGCAACCCCCCUCAGGAACUGAGACCCGACAUUAAACUGCACAACUAAGACAGCAGCAACCAGAUUCUUCAGUUCCUGAUUUUAAAAUAAACACUUGGUAAGUUCUCCAUGACAACAUUUCCCAAAGUGUAUUCGUGAAAAGGGGUCUGUAGUCAACUUUGUCAGGGAAACUGUGUACGCAUUAUCCUCCUCUUAAAGAUUCAGUGUACGCAGGCCUGUUAAAGGCUCUGAAAAGGACUGCGGGAAAGGAACCUGCCUAGUUUUGUUCAACCAGUGAGCGCUUCCUAAACCUACUGUGCAUAUCAACUUCCUUAAAAAAAAGUGUUCCAGGAAAUUUGCUUUGGGAAACACUGUUCACAUUACUAUCUGGAAAGAACAAUGUGCCUGUUCGAUCAGUCGCCAGCAGCCUGGGUUGAUUUUUCCAGUUUACUACUACACCUUACCUCGACCUCGUUCGCCCCCACUUCACUCCUGCAGGUAGACAGAGGACAGCAAUGCUGCUCCUCCCUCCCUUUCCUCAGAGCCUGGAACCCACUGGACCUGGGUCCCCUGUGCAGCAGACCAGCAGAGGCUCCAAGGACAGAAAAUGGCUCCCUGACACACUGUGGAUAAAAAUCUAUCAACUCUAAGAUACUUAAUUGCUCCCAGUUCAAGAACUUUCAAAGAUUCACUCUUAAAUUCAUUUUUAUGGUUACAUUAUAAGCCUCUGAAAAUCCUAGCCUUGACAACAUCACCGACAGCCCUCACUUAAUCACUCUGGUAGAUCAUAUAUAAAAACAAAACAGAGAAAAAAAAAAAAUCAUUCCAUGUUAGUGAGCAGAUGUCUAGCCCAUUUGCAAUUAAUACGACCCACUUCCAUACAAUCAGACUGCUUAAAAUUCCUGGAACAAGAUGUAAAGUUAAGAUGCAAAUGUUCUGAUUUUAAUGAGAAUGAAUGGAAACUGUAAAACCCUCUCUCCCUUUGAGGGAAGGUACGAUCUACAUGUAAGUCCCAACUGCACACUAAAUUUAUCAACAAAACAAUCAUUUGAUAAAGCCUGUGUGAAAGAAGAAAAUAGAACUGGGAAAGUCAGAAGUAUAUUCAGACAGCAUUUCCUACCAAAAUUAGAUGGCAUCCAAACCAUUAUUCUUUUAAGAAGCUUUACAGAAAACUUGACUCAUUUCAAUACAUCUCCCCCAGUCACCAACAUGUACUAGGAGCUUCUUGCAUUUCUUUGAAUCCUUGUGACAUUUUCAUGGACAGAGCAGAGGGUGACAGAAAAGACCAGGACUCUGGCGCUUCCUGGAUCUCACUUCAGAUCCCAGCUCCUCCAUUUAAGCUGACCUUUAGCCAGUUAUUUAACCUUCUGAGUCUCAGUGUUCUCGUCUGUACAAUGGUGAUAACUUCUUGUGUUGAGGGGUUGGUGUGAAAAUCAAAUAAAUAAGUAUAUAUUAAAGGACUAAAUAGAGUUCCAAGCACACAGUAGGCAUAUUAAGUGGUAGCAAUUAUUAGAAUUAUAUUCAUGGUGGCAGGAGCAUACUUUUCUAGGAUCACAAGACAAGUUCACCUUUCACUUUUACUUCUCCCUGCUCAGAAGGCCCUCCUGUCAGCUUACCAAAAUC